GGCCUUGUAAGGAACAACUGGUUUUUCCUCCCCGUGCUCCAGAGAAGUGGUUUAUGAGACAAACAGAGAAUUUGCACCUCCUGUGGGGCUGGAAAACCUCACUCCCUUCAGUUCUGUGAAUAAUCCGUUUGCUGACAGUGUUUGAUGACCCUGUUUGCCUGCAGCUGGCUGUGCUCUCGGUGCUGGAAGGUUUUCCCUGGGAAUUAGAUAUCACUGAGAUAUACAAGUGCUGCUCCAACCAGUCCUGCCUCUGACAAAGGAACAGGAAUCCGAUCCCUCUCCCCACGACGAUGGAGCGAAGGCAUUUGUGUGAUCUCAUCUAUCAGGAGAGCGCUGACGUCGUCUCUCAGCUGCCCCAAAUUAAAACAAUCCAUUUUUGUGCCUGUGAAUCCUCACCCACCGUGCCAGGGAGGGCAGCUGGGGAGGAAGAACGUCCAGGGCCCUGAAUGGGAUGUUCGGAGAGAGCCAUGGUUAAAACUGCAGCGAGUUGUGUUCCUCUCGUAGCUGGGACAUGGUGGCACCUUUAAAAGGAAUUAUUUUUCACUGUCUUUGUCUGGAAUGCAACCACUAAGGAACAUGCUAAAGACGUCUCUGAUUUUCUGUCAGGAUCAGGAUCUUCACAGAAUUCAGUGUAAGUUUCAGAGAGAACAUUCGGAAGGAAAGGAAAUCCUUCAAGGAGAAGUGGAAGAGGAUGAAAGCUGCUGGGUCCUGCUUCCCCUUUCCACAUCCAGAGGUGUCCUUGCUCAGGGACCUGCAGGGGACAAACCCCAGGCAGCUGGGAAGGCUGAGCUCCACCUGCACGACAGACAAUGCCAGGCUGUGUGCAAACAUCAAUAUUUUCUAUAGAAACAGAAAUUUUGAAGGGAAGUCUAAGAACAUGUGGGGACAAAGGCUUGAAAGAUGUCUCAGUGGAAACUCAGCUCAUCCCAAGGCUGAGGAACAAGCACAGAACGUGAAGAACGAGGUUCCAGGAUAUGGAGGAAAAUGUGUUUGUUUUCAACAAAAAUCUUGAUUUAGAAGAGGUGACAAUUCCCUAGAGUUUAUACAAAUAUCAGCAAGGGGUUUUGUUUUAAAUUACAAGGACAUUUUGGCAUCAUCUCGGCAGAAAUGCAAAUGAUUCCAUCAUGAACGAGCAGCCUUGUUUGCCAGCAAAGAGGAGUCUGGAGGAGCUCCGUGUCCCCCUGAACUCCAGGAGUGGUGCCACAGAGUUCUGUGAUUUUAUUGCAGGAACGAUAAACUGCAGGACUCAUCUCGAUGGGAAUGUGCCGGUUCUGUGGCUGCAUUCCCUGCUCUCUCCAUCCCAGGCACCGCUCUGCUUUAUGCCCACCUUCUAUAGGAGCAGUAAAAAUUCCCAAAGCGCUGGUGGUGGGAGCAGGAGCAGCCUGGGGUCAGUCCCUGUCCCUGG